AAGUCGUAACAAGGUCUCCGUAGGUGAACCUGCGGAGGGAUCAUUACCGAGUGAGGGGCUCCGGCCCGACCUCCGACCCUUUGUCGAUUACUAUCUGUUGCCUCGGGGGGCGACCCGGCCGUCCGCGGUUGGGAGUCCCCCAGAGGACCAAUCAACUCUGCAUCUUGCGUCGAGUAUUGAAUAAUAAAUCAAUCAAA
rnacentral:misc_RNA from 1 species